AGAUGCACCCUGAGCUGGGAACUGUCUGGUCCCUGAGGCUGCCAUGGGCUCCCUGCUCCUCUGCUGUGUGGCCCUGUGUCUCCUGGGAGCAGGCUCAGUGGAUUCUGGAGUCAUUCAAACCCCCAAAUAUAUGGUCAAAGCAAGAAGGCAGUCAGUGAACCUGGAAUGUUCUUAUGAGCCUGGACACCUUUAUGUGUACUGGUACCAGCAGACCCAGGGCCAGGGUCCUCAGUUUUUGGUUCAGUAUUACGAUGGCCAAGAGCGAAACAAAGAGAAAUUACCUGACAGGUUCACAGUCCAGCAGUUUAAAGACAGCUAUCACUCUAAGCUGACUGCAAGCUCCUUGGAGCUGGAAGACUCAGCCCUGUAUCUCUGUGCCAGCAGCUUAGCACAGCCCUGA